ACCGGAGUUUCCUCCCCAGCAGAGGGACUGGGAAUGGGCUCGGGCGCUGUGCUGAGCAGCUGCUGCCCCCCUGGCUCUGAGGAGAUCCUGCUUGUCGCGGGGAGGAAGCUUUUGGGGGGCUCUUUAUUAUUUUAAAACUACAAAGUGCUCAGAGGGUAGGUGAUUAUUAAGGGGAAUCCCUGAAUAUAUUCUCCAGCAAAGAAGGCAGGGCUGCUGGGGCUGCUCGAGACGAGAGCCAGCAGCCUCCUACAGCACCACUACAGGCACUGCGAGGACAUAACAUCAGAGAGCAGCUCCUCUGCCCUCCAAAACAACAACUUUCCUACCAUCUUGGAGAACAGCUGAGAUUGAUGUGGGAUACUUUGGCAGAACUGUAUCAUUACCUUCUCUUUCUCUCUCAAGGCAAUGUAAAUAAAACAGACUGAACGUACAGGCAUACACUUAUUCUUUCUCAUGCCGCCUGUGCCGGCAGGAUUGUAAAGGAGGAAGCCAGGCUAAGGUUUCUGCAUUACAACUGGCCACCCAACCAGUGAGGAAUUCUGCCAGUUGGCCACCAGGUGGUACCAGGGCUGCAUUUGGCAAAUUCAGUUCUGCUUUUAGUGCUACAGUGAAGUACUCGUGCAGCCCCAACCCUCCCGCACAAUUUGGGGAAAUGCAGCCACCACUUUGCAUGCAGAGGUUAACUGCAGCCACAGAACUGAUUGUUCAUGCAGUGCAUCAUCUACCUCAGUAAGCCCUUACUUUACUGUCAAAGAGCAGUAUAUUGAUAGGAUUCAUUUCCCAUCAUCUCAGCUGUUCAUUGCCUUAUUUUCAUAAGGCCCUGCUUUCAUCAGAGGUUGUACCUUCCUUCAGAACCAGCAAGUAGUUGCACUCUUUUUGUAAUAAACAAAAUUAAGUUGCAUGAGUAGCCCAGUUCUUGUAGAUUUC